UCCCAGCUGUAAACGAUGCAAACUCGGUGAUGCGCUGGCUUGUGGCCAGCGCAGUGCCGCAGGGAAGCCGUUAAGUUUGCCGCCUGGGAAGUACGUACGCAAGUAUGAAACUUAAAGGAAUUGGCGGGGGAGCACCACAGGGGGUGAAGCCUGCGGUUCAAUUGGAGUCAACGCCAGAAAUCUUACCCGAAGAGACAGCAGAAUGAAGGUCAAGCUGGAGACUUUACCAGACA
rnacentral:rRNA from 1 species